GGCAUUCCGAAGGAGAUCAGUUCAGACCGCGGCAGUAUUUUCACUUCUAAGUUCUGGGAUAGUUUCCAAGAGGCAAUGGGAACUCAUAUUACCUGGAGCACUGCCUAUCAUCCCCAAUCCCAAGGCCAAGUCGAGCGAGUCAAUCAAAUUCUUGAAGACAUGCUUCGAGCUUGUGUUAUUUCUUUCGGCAAGAAGUGGGAAGAAUCUCUUCCUUAUGCGGAGUUCUCUUAUAACAACAGCUAUCAAGCCAGCUUGAAGAUGGCACCCUUUGAAGUGCUUUAUGGACGUAAGUGCCGAACCCCUCUGAAUUGGUCAGAAACUGGGGAACGAGCACUCAUUGGUCCGGACAUUAUUCAACAAGCUGAAGAGCAGGUUCGCAUUGUCCGGGAUAAUCUCAAGGCGGCCCAAUCCCGCCAGAAGAGCAACUAUGACCGGAAACACUGGGGUUCAACUUAUCAACCUGGUGAACAAGCUUAUCUGCGUGUCACUCCUUUGAGAGGCACUCAUCGGUUCGGAGUCAAGGGAAAGUUAGCUCCUCGCUACAUUGGUCCCUUCCGUAUUCUCGCCCGUCGUGGACUGGUGGCUUAUCAACUGGAGUUGCCACCUCAGUUCUCUCACGUUCAUGACGUCUUCCAUGUGUCGCAACUUCGUCGAUGCUUCAAGGAUCCGGAACGUGAAGUGGAUCCGGAAUUGAUUGAAAUUCAAGAUGAUCUCACAUACAAGGAUCAUCCAAUCUGCAUUCUUGAAGAAGCUGAACGUCGA
rnacentral:rRNA from 1 species